GAGUUUGAUCAUGGCUCAGAUUGAACGCUGGCGGCAGGCCUAACACAUGCAAGUCGAGCGGAUGACGGGAGCUUGCUCCUUGAUUCAGCGGCGGACGGGUGAGUAAUGCCUAGGAAUCUGCCUGGUAGUGGGGGACAACGUUUCGAAAGGAACGCUAAUACCGCAUACGUCCUACGGGAGAAAGCAGGGGACCUUCGGGCUUUGCGCUAUCAGAUGAGCCUAGGUCGGAUUAGCUAGUUGGUGGGGUAAUGGCUCACCAAGGCGACGAUCCGUAACUGGUCUGAGAGGAUGAUCAGUCACACUGGAACUGAGACACGGUCCAGACUCCUACGGGAGGCAGCAGUGGGGAAUAUUGGACAAUGGGCGAAAGCCUGAUCCAGCCAUGCCGCGUGUGUGAAGAAGGUCUUCGGAUUGUAAAGCACUUUAAGUUGGGAGGAAGGGCAGUAAGUUAAUACCUUGCUGUUUUGACGUUACCGACAGAAUAAGCACCGGCUAAACUCUGUGCCAGCCGCC
rnacentral:rRNA from 1 species